rnacentral:rRNA from 1 species
UACGUAGGGUGCAAGCGUUGUCCGGAAUUAUUGGGCGUAAAGAGCUCGUAGGCGGUUUGUCGCGUCUGCUGUGAAAACCGGAGGCUCAACCUCCGGCCUGCAGUGGGUACGGGCAGACUAGAGUGCGGUAGGGGAGAUUGGAAUUCCUGGUGUAGCGGUGGAAUGCGCAGAUAUCAGGAGGAACACCGAUGGCGAAGGCAGAUCUCUGGGCCGUAACUGACGCUGAGGAGCGAAAGCGUGGGGAGCGAACAGG